rnacentral:rRNA from 1 species
CAGCAGUGGGGAAUAUUGGACAAUGGGGGAAACCCUGAUCCAGCAAUGCCGCGUGAGUGAUGAAGGCCUUAGGGUUGUAAAACUCUUUCAGCAGGGAAGAUGAUGACGGUACCUGCAGAAGAAGCUCCGGCUAACUCCGUGCCAGCAGCCGCGGUAAUACGGAGGGAGCUAGCGUUGUUCGGAAUUACUGGGCGUAAAGAGCGUGUAGGCUGCUCUUGCAAGUCGGAGGUGAAAUCCCUGGGCUCAACCCGGGAACUGCCUUCGAUACUGCAAAGCUAGAGGAUGGGAGAGGGCAAUGGAAUUCCAAGUGUAGAGGUGAAAUUCGUAGAUAUUUGGAAGAACACCGGUGGCGAAGGCGAUUGCCUGGCCCAUAUCUGACGCUGAGACGCGAAAGCGUGGGGAGCGAACAGGAUUAGAUACCCUGGUAGUCCACGCCGUAAACGAUGAGUGCUUGCUGUUGGG